rnacentral:lncRNA from 1 species
UAAAAUUUUAAAAGCUUUGGUUGAGCGGUUCAUGAGUUUAUGCACGUACACGACUGGAAACUCCAUUUUUCAAUCUUUCAAGAACCAUAACUCCUGAACGGUAAAAGUCAAAAUCGCCAUUAUUGAACUUGACCUUCAUUUAGUUGUCAGUAACAACAUAUUAAAAUUUUAAAAGCUUCGGUUGAACGGUUCAUGAGUUAAUGCACGGACAACAUUUGAUUCCCGCCCGCCCGACCGACCGCCCGCCCGC